CCUCCCAGAGUGUCUUGUUGCCUUUUGAAACCCCAAGACCACCACAGGAAGGAGGGAGGCUAAGCCUGUGGAAGGGUGAGGCCACGUGGAACAGGGAGGAGCCUGUCCAGCCAAGGCAGCUGUGAGAGUAACCCAGCUGAGCCCAGCCCAAAUUGCUAACCCAGAGAAGCAUAAACCACCAAGCGUGGGAGGUUGUAAUAUAGCAGACCGACACAACCUGGUUACUACUAGAAAGUAUUUUUCCUCCUUUCACUUGUGGCAAAUGUUCCCUAGCCAUAGUAAUUACCACUAACUGCCUACCAGACAAACUUUGAAUCUCAAAGACUUAACACAAGAAGCUUUAUUUCUUGCUCGGUGAAAUCCAGUAUGAAUCCGGUGAUCCUCCUCCAUCUUGUAGCUAAGGGAACUGGUGGCCUCAGGGUAGGUGUGGCAGGGGAAGAGAAAGCUGGAGGCCCACCAGCUCUCAAUUGCUUCAGCCCAGAAAUGACCCCUCUGGAUGCCGGAAACUUGCACACAAGAAGUGACCCCAGGCCCCACCCAUCACUUUCACACACAUCAUUGGCCAGAACCAGUCAUGUGACUGGAAGAAGGGCUGGAAAAUGUAGGGGAGCACCUGCAGUGUUUGGAUACCUAUUUUGGCCACAAAGAACUAACCAUUUAUUUGUAUGGUUAUCUGUUUAACAUCUGUCUCCGCUAUUAGACUGAAUCCUAGAGGGCAGAGACCACAUCUGUCUUGCAUGGUGCCCGGCCUAUAGCAGGCACUCAGCAAUCAUUGUUGAAUUGCAAAGUGAAGGGAUAACCCAGCAGGCCACAACAGGAUCAUGUGUGUUUAGCUCCCAGUGGCAGAGAAAAUCCUCAACUAAAUUUCUAACAGUCCCUCCCUUUCUGUAAUAUACAUGCAUUACAUUUGAUAUUGUAAAACUCUUAUACAAGGAUGACUAAAUGAACACCAGUGGGACACCAAAGUCCUCGUUCAUUAGGGCCAGGGGUGUGGAUUUUACACCUUUUUUAUGGGGCACUUUUCAUGUGGCUGCAUCUGAGCAGCCUUGUCAAAAUUUCCUGCGUCAAGGCAAAACCAGGUAAGUCUUUUACUCCGUUGUGAGGUCUCGGAUGAGUCUUCUACUCUCUCUAAACCUCAUUUUUCUUAUUUGUAAAGUGACGAGAGCAUCGACCUAGUUGGGAUGUCGUGAGGAGUAAAUGAGCCUCUCCGUGUAACGUGGCAAAGGGUUGGCACAGUACCUGUCCCCAGGCAGCCCUGGGUAAUGCUGGGUGCACAGAGAUGAGGCCGACUCAUCCCUGUCUGUAUCAGUUAACUUUUGCUGUAUAACAAAACACCCCAAAACUUAGUGGCUUAAAACAAGAAUGAUUCCAUGUAACUCAUGACGUGGUGGGUGAGCUGAGCAAUUCUUCUAGUCUGGGCGGUCUGGGCUGAGCCCUGCAGUCAGCCGGAGGCCACCUGGUGCCAGAUGAUCCAGGACUGCCUUGCUGAUCCGCAGUGGGCAGGCUGUUGGCCAAGCCACCUCCCUUCUUCUCCACAUUCUUUUUCCCACUCUCCUCCACUCUCUGAACUUGAUUUUGUUCAGGUCUCACUCCCCCUCCUGCAUGAAGUUUGAACUUCCUGCAGCGAGGCCGCCCGCGCCUGCAGCUGGAGGACCGCCAUGAUUAAUGCCAACCCAUUUUCCUUGCUGGUGAUUGGUCAGGUGAGGGCAUGUGACCCAUUCUGGCCAAUGAGAUGCACGGCAGAGUCUAUUAGCCGUGCUUCUGGGAAAGCAGCCCCCCUCCCGAGGAAGAGCUAUGGGAACAACAGCAGCUAACUCUCAUUGUGGGCUGGUGCUGCGUACCUUUCAUUCCAGGUGCUUCACAUAAAACAACUGAUUCAGUUUUCAUGAGUUGGGUACUAUUAUUAUCCCCCAUUUUACAGAGAAAGAAUCUGAGAUGUAGAGUGGUUAGGAACUUGCCAAGGGUCAAACAAGUGAGUGCUGGAGCCAGGUUUUAAUUCCGGGCAGCCUAACUCCAAGUUCUCAAGUACUACAAUGCCACACUAGUCAAGUGACUGGAAAGGACUAGGCAGAGGGGUCAAGUGCUUCCUCUGGUCAUAGACCUUUCUACUGUGACAUCUGGGACUGCUGUAGCCAUUGCACCAGCAAUCUCCAGGGACAACAAAGAGACAGAAGGAGCCUGGUGAGCCUUGUCCCUGCAAACAGCCAUGAGGGCAGAAUGAACGGGCACUGAAGCCCACACUAUCUGUUGACUUCUUACUUCGUGUGAAACCUAUUUCCUUUUUAUUUAAGCCACCUUGACUCGGAAAAGUAUCCCAACUGAGAGCCACUGCCUCCAGAAGAAACAGUGUGGAAAGACCCGCUGGGCUGCAGGGAAUCUGUCUGUUCUCACAAACCACUCAACUGGGACACAAGGCCUCUGCCUUUCACCAGGGGGACAGUUUUGAAGGCAAGGAAAACUGAUGAAGAAACAAAGGCUCAGGCAGGUACAGCCAUUGCUCAAGGCCAAAAUGCAGUUGGGGAAGCUGAGAAGCCCACAGCCAGCAAGCGCGGCUGGGAUCGCACCUGUGCACCCCAUCAUCUGUGCUCUCAACUGCCCUGUAAUGACCUUGAAUGUCAGAUGACUGAAAUAGCAGGUCACACCAACAGAAAAAUAACCCUAAAAGCGGAGAAAAUCCAGAAGGGCAGAUAACGGGGAAGUCACCUUGUGCCCAUCAUCUUCAAGGCUACAGGUCUCCGCUGUCCACCCGCCACUUUCACUCAUUCCGAAAGCCGGCAUGGAGCCCACCUGAGCCAGCCACCAGCGGCUAACUGGACAGGCAGCCCCGGGCCCUGCUCUCCCGGUGCCCACUGGGAGACAGUGUAACAAGCCAAUAAAUUAAAUAUUUACAAAUUCUGAUAUGCCUUGCAAAGGAACCAAGAAAGAUGCUGGAAUGGAGAGUAUUUUGGAAGAGGGCACCUAUUUUAGAAAGUGUGGUCCAGAAGUGACCGCUUUCUGGGUGGAGAGGCACAGACAGUGCAAAGGCCCUGAGGCAAGAGAGAGCUUGACCUGCUCUGGAGACCCAGCCAAAGAUCAGUGUGGCUGCAAUGGUGCCGAGAAGAGGGACGUGCAGUGAGGGUGGCGAGGUUGUGGGGAAACGCGCUGAGGGUUAAUGGGCAUCCCAGUGAAACUCACCAAUGCCCUGAAAGGUGUGUCCCACUUUACUGAUGGUAAGACUGAGGUUCAGAGAAGGGAAGUGACCUGUUAGAAGCUAUACAACCAGGCCGGGCGCGG